rnacentral:rRNA from 1 species
GACGAACUGUCCAAGCGUUGUUCGGAAUCACUGGGCUUAAAGGGCGCGUAGGCGGUCCGACAAGUCAGGGGUGAAAUCCUGCAGUUUAACUGUAGAAGUGCCUCUGAUACUGUCGGUCUUGAGGGAGGUAGGGGUGUGCGGAACUUCCAGUGGAGCGGUGAAAUGUGGUGAUAUUGGAAGGAACGCCGGUGGCGAAAGCGGCGCACUGGACCGCUUCUGACGCUGAGGCGCGAAAGCUAGGGGAGCAAACGGG